rnacentral:rRNA from 1 species
UUAAGCGACUAAGCGUACACGGUGGAUGCCCUGGCAGUCAGAGGCGAUGAAGGGCGUGCUAAUCUGCGAUAAGCGCCGGUAAGGUGAUAUGAACCGUUAUAACCGGCGAUACCCGAAUGGGGAAACCCAGUGUGACUCGUCACACUAUCAUUAACUGAAUCCAUAGGUUAAUGAGGCGAACCGGGGGAACUGAAACAUCUAAGUACCCCGAGGAAAAGAAAUCAACCGAGAUUCCCCCAGUAGCGGCGAGCGAACGGGGAGGAGCCCAGAGCCUGAAUCAGCAUGUGUGUUAGUGGAAGCGUCUGGAAAGGCGCGCGAUACAGGGUGACAGCCCCGUACACAAAAGCGCAUGUGCUGUGAGCUCGAUGAGUAGGGCGGGACACGUGGUAUCCUGUCUGAAUAUGGGGGGACCAUCCUCCAAGGCUAAAUACUCCUGACUGACCGAUAGUGAACCAGUACCGUGAGGGAAAGGCGAAAAGAACCCCGGCGAGGGGAGUGAAAAAGAACCUGAAACCGUGUACGUACAAGCAGUGGGAGCACAGGUUUACCUGUGUGACUGCGUACCUUUUGUAUAAUGGGUCAGCGACUUAUAUUCUGUAGCAAGGUUAACCGCAUAGGGGAGCCGGAGGGAAACCGAGUCUUAAUUGGGCGUUAAGUUGCAGGGUAUAGACCCGAAACCCGGUGAUCUAGCCAUGGGCAGGUUGAAGGUUGGGUAACACUAACUGGAGGACCGAACCGACUAAUGUUGAAAAAUUAGCGGAUGACCUGUGGCUGGGGGUGAAAGGCCAAUCAAACCGGGAGAUAGCUGGUUCUCCCCGAAAGCUAUUUAGGUAGCGCCUCGUGAAUUCAUCUCCGGGGGUAGAGCACUGUUUCGGCUAGGGGGCCAUCCCGGCUUACCAACCCGAUGCAAACUGCGAAUACCGGAGAAUGUUAUCACGGGAGACACACGGCGGGUGCUAACGUCCGUCGUGAAGAGGGAAACAACCCAGACCGCCAGCUAAGGUCCCAAAGUCAUGGUUAAGUGGGAAACGAUGUGGGAAGGCCCAGACAGCCAGGAUGUUGGCUUAGAAGCAGCCAUCAUUUAAAGAAAGCGUAAUAGCUCACUGGUCGAGUCGGCCUGCGCGGAAGAUGUAACGGGGCUAAACCAUGCACCGAAGCUGCGGCAGCGACGCUGAUGCGUUGUUGGGUAGGGGAGCGUUCUGUAAGCCUGUGAAGGUGGCCUGUGAGGGUUGCUGGAGGUAUCAGAAGUGCGAAUGCUGACAUAAGUAACGAUAAAGCGGGUGAAAAGCCCGCUCGCCGGAAGACCAAGGGUUCCUGUCCAACGUUAAUCGGGGCAGGGUGAGUCGACCCCUAAGGCGAGGCCGAAAGGCGUAGUCGAUGGGAAACGGGUUAAUAUUCCCGUACUUGGUGUUACUGCGAAGGGGGGACGGAGAAGGCUAUGUUGGCCGGGCGACGGUUGUCCCGGUUUAAGCGUGUAGGUGUGUGUUCCAGGUAAAUCCGGUUCACUUUAACACUGAGGCGUGAUGACGAGGCACUACGGUGCUGAAGCAACAAAUGCCCUGCUUCCAGGAAAAGCCUCUAAGCAUCAGGUAACAUCAAAUCGUACCCCAAACCGACACAGGUGGUCAGGUAGAGAAUACCAAGGCGCUUGAGAGAACUCGGGUGAAGGAACUAGGCAAAAUGGUGCCGUAACUUCGGGAGAAGGCACGCUGACAUGUAGGUGAAGUGAUUUACUCACGGAGCUGAAGUCAGUCGAAGAUACCAGCUGGCUGCAACUGUUUAUUAAAAACACAGCACUGUGCAAACACGAAAGUGGACGUAUACGGUGUGACGCCUGCCCGGUGCCGGAAGGUUAAUUGAUGGGGUCAGCGCAAGCGAAGCUCCUGAUCGAAGCCCCGGUAAACGGCGGCCGUAACUAUAACGGUCCUAAGGUAGCGAAAUUCCUUGUCGGGUAAGUUCCGACCUGCACGAAUGGCGUAAUGAUGGCCAGGCUGUCUCCACCCGAGACUCAGUGAAAUUGAACUCGCUGUGAAGAUGCAGUGUACCCGCGGCAAGACGGAAAGACCCCGUGAACCUUUACUAUAGCUUGACACUGAACAUUGAGCCUUGAUGUGUAGGAUAGGUGGGAGGCUUUGAAGUGUGGACGCCAGUCUGCAUGGAGCCGACCUUGAAAUACCACCCUUUAAUGUUUGAUGUUCUAACGUGGACCCGUUACCCGGGUUGCGGACAGUGUCUGGUGGGUAGUUUGACUGGGGCGGUCUCCUCCUAAAGAGUAACGGAGGAGCACGAAGGUUGGCUAAUCCUGGUCGGACAUCAGGAGGUUAGUGCAAUGGCAUAAGCCAGCUUGACUGCGAGCGUGACGGCGCGAGCAGGUGCGAAAGCAGGUCAUAGUGAUCCGGUGGUUCUGAAUGGAAGGGCCAUCGCUCAACGGAUAAAAGGUACUCCGGGGAUAACAGGCUGAUACCGCCCAAGAGUUCAUAUCGACGGCGGUGUUUGGCACCUCGAUGUCGGCUCAUCACAUCCUGGGGCUGAAGUAGGUCCCAAGGGUAUGGCUGUUCGCCAUUUAAAGUGGUACGCGAGCUGGGUUUAGAACGUCGUGAGACAGUUCGGUCCCUAUCUGCCGUGGGCGCUGGAGAACUGAGGGGGGCUGCUCCUAGUACGAGAGGACCGGAGUGGACGCAUCACUGGUGUUCGGGUUGUCAUGCCAAUGGCACUGCCCGGUAGCUAAAUGCGGAAGAGAUAAGUGCUGAAAGCAUCUAAGCACGAAACUUGCCCCGAGAUGAGUUCUCCCUGAGACUUAGAGUCUCCUGAAGGAACGUUGAAGACGACGACGUUGAUAGGCCGGGUGUGUAAGCGCAGCGAUGCGUUGAGCUAACCGGUACUAAUGAACCGUGAGGCUUAACCUU